CAGUCGCCACGGGAACACGUAGGUCCCGAGCGUUGUCCGGAUUUAUUGGGCGUAAAGCGAGCGCAGGCGGUUAGAUAAGUCUGAAGUUAAAGGCUGUGGCUUAACCAUAGUACGCUUUGGAAACUGUUUAACUUGAGUGCAAGAGGGGAGAGUGGAAUUCCAUGUGUAGCGGUGAAAUGCGUAGAUAUAUGGAGGAACACCGGUGGUGAAAGCGGCUCUCUGGCUUGUAACUGACGCUGAGGCUCGAAAGCGUGGGGCGCAAACAGGAUUAGAUACCCGCGUAGUCCCUGUCUCUUAUACA
rnacentral:rRNA from 1 species